GACGAACGCUGGCGGCGUGCUUAACACAUGCAAGUCGAACGGAAAGGCCCUGCUUUUGUGGGGUGCUCGAGUGGCGAACGGGUGAGUAACACGUGAGUAACCUGCCCUUGACUUUGGGAUAACUUCAGGAAACUGGGGCUAAUACCGGAUAGGAGCUCCUGCUGCAUGGUGGGGGUUGGAAAGUUUCGGCGGUUGGGGAUGGACUCGCGGCUUAUCAGCUUGUUGGUGGGGUAGUGGCUUACCAAGGCUUUGACGGGUAGCCGGCCUGAGAGGGUGACCGGCCACAUUGGGACUGAGAUACGGCCCAGACUCCUACGGGAGGCAGCAGUGGGGAAUAUUGCACAAUGGGCGGAAGCCUGAUGCAGCAACGCCGCGUGCGGGAUGACGGCCUUCGGGUUGUAAACCGCUUUCGCCUGUGACGAAGCGUGAGUGACGGUAAUGGGUAAAGAAGCACCGGCUAACUACGUGCCAGCAGCCGCGGUGAUACGUAGGGUGCGAGCGUUGUCCGGAUUUAUUGGGCGUAAAGGGCUCGUAGGUGGUUGAUCGCGUCGGAAGUGUAAUCUUGGGGCUUAACCCUGAGCGUGCUUUCGAUACGGGUUGACUUGAGGAAGGUAGGGGAGAAUGGAAUUCCUGGUGGAGCGGUGGAAUGCGCAGAUAUCAGGAGGAGCACCAGUGGCGAAGGCGGUUCUCUGGGCCUUUCCUGACGCUGAGGAGCGAAAGCGUGGGGAGCGAACAGGCUUAGAUACCCUGGUAGUCCACGCUGUAAACGGUGGGUACUAGGUGUGGGGUCCAUUCCACGGGUUCCGUGCCGUAGCUAACGCUUUAAGUACCCCGCCUGGGGAGUACGGCCGCGAGGCUAAAACUCAAAGGAAUUGACGGGGCCCCGCACAAGCGGCGGAGCAUGCGGAUUAAUUCGAUGCAACGCGUAGAACCUUACCUGGGUUUGACAUGGAUCGGGAGCGCUCAGAGAUGGGUGUGCCUCUUUUGGGGUCGGUUCACAGGUGGUGCAUGGCUGUCGUCAGCUCGUGUCGUGAGAUGUUGGGUUAAGUCCCGCAACGAGCGCAACCCUUGUUCACUGUUGCCAGCACGUUAUGGUGGGGACUCAGUGGAGACCGCCGGGGUCAACUCGGAGGAAGGUGGGGAUGACGUCAAGUCAUCAUGCCCCUUAUGUCCAGGGCUUCACGCAUGCUACAAUGGCUGGUACAGAGAGUGGCGAGCCUGUGAGGGUGAGCGAAUCUCGGAAAGCCGGUCUCAGUUCGGAUUGGGGUCUGCAACUCGACCUCAUGAAGUCGGAGUCGCUAGUAAUCGCAGAUCAGCAACGCUGCGGUGAAUACGUUCCCGGGGCU
rnacentral:rRNA from 1 species